rnacentral:tRNA from 1 species
GCGGAAGUAGCUCAGCCCGGUAGAGCGCCACCUUGCCAAGGUGGAUGUCGGGGGUUCAAAUCCCCUCUUCCGCUCCA